CUGAGCUCCAUCCUUACAGCCCUAAGACUUCCGGGGACACAGCUGACCCCAGAAAUGAGGUGGCUGGAAUUGGGGUUGGGGCUGGGGCUGGCUAGGAAUUU